CACUUGGCCCUUUUCAGGGCCACCAUACUUCAAGCUCGACAAAGAA
rfam:Operophtera brumata OBRT01_Sc00993, whole genome shotgun sequence.